rnacentral:tRNA from 1 species
GCCCUCGUAGCCCAACGGCAGAGGCAGGCGCCUUAAAAGCGCUCGAGUACGGGUUCGAAUCCCGUCGGGGGCACCA